rnacentral:snoRNA from 1 species
UCUCCCUUUCUUGGUGGAGAAUGGGCAUAUAGUUCCCAGCAUGUACAGAGGCAGAGGAAAAAGGCUCCCGCCACUUCAGCAUCAUGUCUGCAGUGCCAGUAGUUUUCUAUACACCAGUUCCAUCCUCACGUGCCAAGACAUGG